rnacentral:tRNA from 1 species
GCGAUCAUGGCGGAAUUGGUAGACGCGCAGCACUAAGGAUGCUGUAGGGAAACCUGUGGGGGUUCAAGUCCCCCUGGUCGCACCA